rnacentral:lncRNA from 1 species
GUAUACAUUUGGAAAGUACCCAAAUAAAUGAGAAGCUUCUAUCCUUGAUUUGGGGAAGACAUUCCUUAGCGGAGGCUGUGCAGCCUCCCGCCCCUGCAUGGCCCAGGCGGGACAGCUGGGCUCGCUCUUUUCUGUCCGUUUCCUGCUGUGUUUUGCCCUCUCUGGCCUGUGACGUGCUCCUGGCGACUUCUUCCUCAGUGCCCUCUCUUUUCUGUCCUCUCUGUCUCACAGCCUCGUCUCCUAAGCCCCUCCCUCCUCCUGGCUCCUCUUCCCUGUCCUGUCUGGGCCAUGUGGGGGACAGGAGGCUUUCCUCUCCCUGGACCCCCUGGCCAGCCUCGGGUGCGGGGCCCGACAGCAGCUCGAGGGUCUCCUUGCUGCCGCCCUUCCUGAGUGACCAGGCACAGCACGUGCACGCCCUGGGGAACUUCUACCUCUUCUGCCAGGCCACAGGUCCUGCAGACAUUCGCUUUGUCUGGGAGAAGAAUGGGCGAGCUCUGGAGACCUGUGUCCCUGUGCAGACCCAUGCACUGCCCGAUGGCAGGGCCCAUGCACUCAGCUGGCUGCAGGACGCCAUCAGGGAAAGCGCUGAGUAUCGCUGCUCUGUCCUCUCCUCAGCAGGGAACAAGACUUCGAAGGUGCAGGUUGCUGUGAUGAGACCUGAAGUGACCCACCAGGAGAGGUGGACCAGAGAGCUCUCUGCCUGGAGGGCUGUGGCUGGGGAGCACGACCGGAUGAUGCAGAGCUGGAGGAAGGCGUGGGAAAGCUGUAGCAAGGACACCCUGUAGCCACCAGGAAGGAGUCCCUGACACCGACCUCAACCCCAACAAGACCCUGCUGCCACUGACCACAGCCACCCCCGGAGAAGGCCUGGUCCCCCACAACUGUGAACUGUCUUGCCCAAGCCUGCUCUGAACACAGCCAUUGGGCCACCACCUGAUGGGCAGAGGCGGGACAGUGGAGAAGCCUGGAACCCAAGUGGGCCUGUGACAGGAACUAAGACUUAAAAAAUUAGGUGCUUACCUGGGACAGUAAGUUCUGUCUGGCACAAGCAGGUAACCAGGAUGGCUAACAGGCUUUGAUAGCUGCUCGUGAACUAAAACAGCAGGGUGUGUGCAGGUUCCUCCUCUACGGUCAGGCAGCAGGCUCUGAAGGCUGAUCCUACACCGUCCCAGUGACUCCCCUUGACAGAGUGCCCCCACCCCCUAAUAGCCAACAGGGUUAGCAUGGCCAGCACAGAUCGCUGCUUUUAUUGAUGCAAAUCAAGCCUGCUGCUUCUCCUCCCUGCAGACUUAGCCAAGGAACUCCAAGAUGCAUGACUGGGACAAGAAAAGGUGAGACUCCACAUGGAAAUGCCUUGCCCUAAACCUUGAAUGACUGUGAGAUGCGAUCUGGGAGUGCAUCUGUCAAGUCUUUGUGUUUUCUUCACUAACCUCAGAAUACUGGGCUCUAUUUUAUCAAGCGCUGCAGUUUAUGCCUCUGUCCCGUCAAUGCUCAGCUUCUGCAACAGGACACCAAACUUGAUGCAGAAAGCCAAAUAGGUCAAUUAUGCAAAUCUCCUGGUGCCAUAUUAAAUUUCUUGACGAUGGAAUGAGUCUCAUGAGUGUUUUGUUCUACCUGCUUUCAAGUCUCUAAUUAUUAAAGCUGUAUCUCUGAAGACUGUGUCACUGUGUGUGUGAACUUGUCCUAAAGCUACUCAGCCUUUAAUCUUACACACACGUCUCUUCUUGUCUGUUGAAUGACAGUUUUCAUGUCUAUCAUAAAACCAAAGCCUCUGUUAAAAGUCAAGCCGCACCCCUCUGGUGAUCCUAGCAAAUACUGAGUGUCUUCCCAGCAGUGUGACAAUGACCUGUUUUGCAUCCCCUCUUUCUGGAGCUGGACAAAUUCUCUACCAGCCUUUGUGUGGGAUCAGCAUACAUCGCCUGCUAAUUCCUUCAGGAUCCAUCACAACAGGUGUCCUGAAGAUGCUGGAGACACCCUGGUUGUCUCCACACGUUCCCCCUCCGCACCCCAAGUCGAGAGGCCCAGCUGCCUGUGAGGUGUGUGCUUGCCCAUCCAGCCAAGGAUGCCAGUCUUGCUCACGGAACCAUCACAUACUCAUAACCUGAAGUUUUCCUGUAAAAUAUCCAUCAGCUCACUGUGGUUCUUGCUUUGGGUGUGGCUUCAACCACUACAAACUGAUGAGUGAAAUGCUAUGGGCUUUAGGCUUAUAUUCUUGGUGCUGUUUUCUGUCUCUUCUCCUGAAGUCUGGAUUUCAAGCACUUUCACACUUAACAAAAUAAUUACAUACUUGAAGUUUUCGUAAUGUGGAGUGUUCUACUGGGAAAUGGAGUUAUGAGGAUGAAUUUCUGAGUCUUUCUUUGCUCUGCUGGAAAAAAUAAAAAUAGAGUUGUACAUUG